UCGGAAGCUCGAAAGUAUCUCACAAUUAAGACACCACAAAACCUAGGGGCAUUAAUGCCACCUUAAAUAAGCCCUAGCUUUUUCUCCUUUGAAAUAACUUCCUUCACAAAAAAGCUUUGAGCUUCGCGUGCAUACUAUCCGAUCAUAAUUCAAAACCAAAACCAAAAUUGAGCUGGAAAAAAUCAAACAGAGAGAGACAGAGGGAGCACCGGAAAAAAACUCGCCGGCGGUGGGGUUGAGACGGAGAAGGGACUCGGAGUCGGCGGCGGAGGCGGAGGCGAGGUGGCCAUUGAUUGCUCUAAGGCGACGCUGAGCUGGCGCUGAAUCCAUCGGAAGGAGCGUUGGGACGUUGGUCUUGGUUUCCAAACAGCAGAGAGGAAGAGGAGAAGCGCGAUUGGAACGUGAUCCGGGAUUGAAUGUUAUAAGGGCACGCGUUCCACGAUCGCGAUCAGGAAGAGAUGGAGGUAGGUGACAAUGACACGGAUGCGGACAGAAAUCAGAUUAUGCAAAGAGAAAGAUAAAUAAUAAAUAUGUGUAAUAAUAUUAUUAUUAUUUGCUUAAUUUUGGCAUGGAAAACAAAAUAUGUUGAAUUUGAAAUCUAAUGGCUUUUUCUGUGCCGGCCGUCGUCUGCUCUGGUUUUUAUUGCCUUCUACGUUGGCGGAUGGCUUUCGUGGUAGUGGUCAAAUAUUUGGACCUCAAAUUUGGAGACUCAAGUAAGUCUGAAGAUGGGUUCCUCCUUGAAUAUUAAUUUAACUAAAGUGCAGAUUUGUUUUCGGAUGAGGAUCCUCUUCUGACCCUCUUUAUGAGGAUCUUAAGGCCUCAAAUCGUGUUAAUUCAUUGUAUAUCGUGCGAUCAAUUUUCAUUAAUUAAUAUUCAUAUUUAAUUUUA